AAUCCUGGUGGCGAGUGGCGAACGGGUGAGUAAUACAUCGGAACGUGCCCUGUCGUGGGGGAUAACUAGUCGAAAGAUUAGCUAAUACCGCAUACGACCUGAGGGUGAAAGCGGGGGACCGUAAGGCCUCGCGCGAUAGGAGCGGCCGAUGUCUGAUUAGCUAGUUGGUGGGGUAAAGGCCCACCAAGGCGACGAUCAGUAGCUGGUCUGAGAGGACGAUCAGCCACACUGGGACUGAGACACGGCCCAGACUCCUACGGGAGGCAGCAGUGGGGAAUUUUGGACAAUGGGGGCAACCCUGAUCCAGCAAUGCCGCGUGUGUGAAGAAGGCCUUCGGGUUGUAAAGCACUUUUGUCCGGAAAGAAAUC
rnacentral:rRNA from 1 species